GACGAACGCUGGCGGCGUGCUUAACACAUGCAAGUCGAACGUGAUUUUUGUGGAAAUUCUUUCGGGAAUGGAAAUGAAAUGAAAGUGGCGAACGGGUGAGUAACACGUGAGCAACCUACCUUACACAGGGGGAUAGCCGUUGGAAACGACGAUUAAUACCGCAUGAGACCACAGAAUCGCAUGAUAUAGGGGUCAAAGAUUUAUCGGUGUAAGAAGGGCUCGCGUCUGAUUAGCUAGUUGGAAGGGUAAGGGCCUACCAAGGCGACGAUCAGUAGCCGGUCUGAGAGGAUGAACGGCCACAUUGGAACUGAGACACGGUCCAAACUCCUACGGGAGGCAGCAGUGGGGAAUAUUGCACAAUGGGGGGAACCCUGAUGCAGCGACGCCGCGUGAGCGAAGAAGGUUUUCGAAUCGUAAAGCUCUGUCCUAUGAGAAGAUAAUGACGGUAUCAUAGGAGGAAG
rnacentral:rRNA from 1 species